GACGAACGCUGGCGGCGUGCUUAACACAUGCAAGUCGAGCGGAAAGGCUCCUUCGGGGGUACUCGAGCGGCGAACGGGUGAGUAACACGUGAGUAAUCUGCCCUGCGCUCUGGGAUAGCCACCGGAAACGGUGAUUAAUACCGGAUAUGACCGCUACACGCAUGUGUUGGUGGUGGAAAGGUUUUCGGCGCAGGAUGUGCUCGCGGCCUAUCAGCUUGUUGGUGAGGUAAUGGCUCACCAAGGCUUUGACGGGUAACCGGCCUGAGAGGGUGACCGGUCACACUGGGACUGAGACACGGCCCAGACUCCUACGGGAGGCAGCAGUGGGGAAUAUUGGACAAUGGGCGGAAGCCUGAUCCAGCAACGCCGCGUGAGGGAUGACGGCCUUCGGGUUGUAAACCUCUUUCAGUACCGACGAAGCGAAAGUGACGGUAGGUACAGAAGAAGGACCGGCCAACUACGUGCCAGCAGCCGCGGUAACAC
rnacentral:rRNA from 1 species